CAUUCCAGAAAUUUUCUAGUGAGCACUCAUUAGACAGGUGCUGAAGCAUUGUCAGAAGUUGCGGUAAUCUCUGGCAAAGUCCCAGAAUGCUGGAAUUUUGUGAUACUGUCGAUGACCUUUUCUUUGUUUUUGUGAAGAGAAUGUGUAUAUUACACAUAGUCAUAUGAUUUUUUUUUUUUUUUGAGACAGAGUUUCGCUCUUGUUGCCCAGACUGGAGGGCAAUGGCGUGAUCUCGGCUCACCACAACCUCUACCUCCUAGGUUCAAGCAAUUCUCCUGCCUCAGCCUCCCAAAUAACUGGGACUACAGGCAUGCACCACCAUGCCCAGCUAUUUUGUAUUUUUAGUAGAGAUAGAGUUUCUCCAUGUUGGUCAGGCUGGUCUCAAACUCCCACCCUCAGGUAAUCUACCCGCCUUGGCCUCCCAAAGUGCUGGGAUUACAGGCGUGAGCCGCCGUGCCCGGCCUAUGACUUUUAAUUCUUGUGUCCAAAGAUGGUGAGACAUGUGUGGUAAGAUACCCAAACUGACCAGCUGUAGCAAUGGCUGCAUAACAAGAAAGAGAGAACGUGAGAGCAGUAAAUGGCCCUGAUUUAUUUACCAAUAACUCCCAGGUUCUUGAUUAUCUAUUUUUUUUCUCAGUGGACUUGAAGACCCAACUGGACUCUCC
rnacentral:lncRNA from 1 species